AUCCCACUCUCUCUCACUCUCAAAUCUAGAGCCUCCUCUUUCAAUCCCAAUUUUCUAAAAAUGUUGUUUUAUUCAGUUUUCACGAUUUUCUUGCUUAUGCUAAACUGUGAAGUGUUGUGAUCAAUAGGUUGAGCUUUGAUGAUGAUGAGUUAGAAGAUGUUGGUGCAGGAACCGCUCUUUCGUUGAUCGCGGAUGCAUUUGAGGAUAUAUCGGAGCCCUAAAUCAGUUCAAAUUGCAUCCGUUCCUAUAAACCUUCAACUAGCCCUAAAUUAGAUGAAAGAGAUGAAUAAAGUGACCUCUGAUAUACUUUUUGAUGGCUCGUCGGAGACAAAGAGGAACGACAUAGCAUCCUUCGGAUUGCUUGCUUGCUGCUUUCAGCGUUUCUGCAGUGAAUCUCUGAACCGUUUCGGUUAUGGCGUUCGCCAUUAUUUGUUUGAUUUUUACAUGUUCGGUUGUUUUUUUUGUUAAGGUUUGCUUGAUUUUGUGUUUUAGCCUUAAAAGGAGAUCGGUCUUUAUCUAAGGUUAUCUCUAAAGAACAUGAAAUUGAAGAAAUAAACCUUGGUGAAGUUGUGAAAGAAUCAAUGAUGGCUCAAAAGCAUAACGUGUGUGCGUUCUUGGAUCCAGAUACUCAUACUCGGUAUACGGAUUAUACCGAGAUAAUCAGUUUUCUACGUCGAUCAAGGAUCAUGUACGCCAUUUCCACACGUCACACUUCUUAUUGAAGCCACCAAACGCUGUUCUGGAAUUAGCACGUGUUGACGAUUCUGUGAAUCCGAAAUUGUUAAUUAGAGUUUAAGUUCGUAUAUGAGAGCUAUAGUUAUCGAUUUUUGAACGAAAGAGUUUUUCAGUUGUUGUAUAGCUUCUUCCUCAAGACGAAUGUGAAGAACAAAAUUAGAAAAAUCUAUGUGAAUAACAAAAUCGAACAAAUGAAGCUCCUGUGCAAUUUCGAAGCAAUUGUUCUAUUUCGUCGCCUCUUCUCACUAAUUAGAUCGCAUACUGUUGUUGCUCCUCCAGAAUGGAACUAUUCAGGGACUAAAGCAUAUAUGGAGAACUGAGGGUUUUAAAGGAAUGUUUAAAGGAAAUGGCACCAAUUGUGCGCCCAUUAUCCCAAACUCUGCUGUCAAAUUCUUUUAUAUCUAGCUUUAAUAUGCUUUCUUGUGAUGAGGUAAGAUCUAUCAUAUGCCAUUUGUAAUUGUUUAUAUUGAUGCAGGCUUUUUAACAUGUUUAGUUUAUGUUAUAGGCUACUGUGUUUUUAUGAAUUAUAAUCUAUACAUGAAGAAAAUAGCUCUAAAUAUUAGACUUCUGAGUUGUAUUGCUUUAUUAUUCUCAUCAUGUUUAAACUUUCAACAUUUCAGAACUAGAUUGUGGGAACUUGAAGACUUUUGAAAUGCAUGCCAAAAUAAGCUGGUCGGGCUCUUUGAUUAUUUUUAAUGUUUGGUUUUUAGUCAACCGUGUUUUGAAGAAUCUGCUCCUCCCAAUGACAAAGAUUCAACAUUUGCUACUCAAAAGGUCUGCCAAAGCCAAAGUCUGCCAAAAGUGAACAUCUGCUUGAAGAUAAAAUUUGCUGAUCCAAAGGUUUGCCAAAGUGAUCCUCUACUGAUGAAGACAAAGUCUGAAGAAGCAAAGGUCUGCUAUGGCUCAACAGAUGUUAAAGACCAACGGAUGAUAUUCAACAGAUGCUGCUCAACAGAGGUUAACAAUGUAACUGUGCUUAGGCUAAUAGCAGAUGUUAGGAGUUUAUUAGGUUGUUUGAUCGUAGUUAAUGUUUGUUGAAAGUCAAGUUGUAUUGCAUGUAUUGAUUUUUUUCAAAGUAAAAAUUUUAAAUUUGUUAGUAUAUUCAUUUGAUGUUUUA